rnacentral:rRNA from 1 species
AGAGUUUGAUCCUGGCUCAGAAUCAACGCUGGCGGCGCGCUUAACACAUGCAAGUCGAGCGAGAAAGUGGAGCAAUCCAUGAGUACAGCGGCGUACGGGUGAGUAACACGUGGGUAAUCUGCCUCUUAGUGGGGAAUAACCCUGGGAAACCGGGGCUAAUACCGCAUAAUCCUGUGAAGGGAAAGCAGCAAUGCGCUGAGAGAGGAGCCCGCGGCCGAUUAGCUAGUUGGUGAGGUAACGGCCCACCAAGGCGACGAUCGGUAGCCGGCCUGAGAGGGCACACGGCCACACUGGCACUGAAACACGGGCCAGACUCCUACGGGAGGCAGCAGUGGGGAAUCUUGCACAAUGGAGGCAACUCUGAUGCAGCGACGCCGCGUGAGCGAUGAAGCCCUUCGGGGUGUAAAGCUCUUUCGGCAGGGACGAUAAUGACGGUACCUGAAGAAGAAGCUGCGGCUAACUACGUGCCAGCAGCCGCGGUAAUACGUAGGCAGCGAGCGUUGUUCGGAAUUACUGGGCGUAAAGAGUGUGUAGGCGGUGCUCUAAGUUCGGUGUGAAAUCUCCUGGCUUAACUGGGAGGGUGCGCCGGAAACUGGAGUGCUCGAGCGUGGGAGGGGAAAGCGGAAUUCCUGGUGUAGCGGUGAAAUGCGUAGAUAUCAGGAGGAACACCUGCGGUGUAGACGGCUUUCUGGACCAUUGCUGACGCUGAGACACGAAAGCGUGGGUAGCAAACAGGAUUAGAUACCCCCGUAGUCC